rnacentral:rRNA from 1 species
CUUAGCGGCGGACGGGUGAGUAACACGUGGGUAAUCUGCCUUAUACAGGGGGAUAACAGUUAGAAAUGACUGCUAAUACCGCAUAAGCGCACGGGAACGCAUGUUUCUGUGUGAAAAACUCCGGUAGUAUAAGAUGAGCCCGCGUCUGAUUAGCUGGUUGGUGGGUAACGGCCUACCAAGGCGACGAUCAGUAGCCGGCCUGAGAGGGUGAACGGCCACAUUGGGACUGAGACACGGCCCAAACUCCUACGGGAGGCAGCAG